rnacentral:rRNA from 1 species
UACGGAGGGUGCAAGCGUUAUCCGGAUUCACUGGGUUUAAAGGGGGCGUAGGUGGGCAGUUAAGUCAGUGGUGAAAUCUCCGGGCUUAACCCGGAAACUGCCAUUGAUACUAUCUGUCUUGAAUAUCGUGGAGGUAAGCGGAAUAUGUCAUGUAGCGGUGAAAUGCUUAGAUAUGACAUAGAACACCAAUUGCGAAGGCAGCUUACUACCCGAAUAUUGACACUGAGGCACGAAAGCGUGGGGAUCAAACAGG